CGGAACGUAGCGCAGUCUGGUAGCGCACAUGUCUGGGGGACAUGAUGUCGCAGGUUCAAAUCCUGUCGUUCCGACCA
rnacentral:tRNA from 1 species